GACGAACCGUGCGAACGUUAUUCGGAAUAACUGGGCUUAAAGGGAGCGUAGGCAGGCUAUCAAGUCUGGGGUGAAAUCCCACGGCUCAACCGUGGAACUGCCUUAGAUACUGACGGCCUCGAGGGAGAUAGGGGCAUGCGGAACUGUAGGUGGAGCGGUGAAAUGCGUUGAUAUCUACAGGAACUCCGGUGGCGAAAGCGGCGUGCUGGAUCUCUUCUGACGCUGGAGGCUACGAAAGGCAUAGGGGAGCAAACGGG
rnacentral:rRNA from 1 species